rnacentral:tRNA from 1 species
GCGGGACUGGUGUAAUUGGUAGCCACAUUUGGUUUAAGCCCAAAUGACCAUCGGUCGUAAGGGUUCGAGUCCCUUGUCCCGUACCA